AGUGAACGCUGGCGGUAGGCCUAACACAUGCAAGUCGAACGGCAGCACAGUAAGAGCUUGCUCUUACGGGUGUCGAGUGGCGGACGGGUGAGGAAUACAUCGGAAUCUACUUUUUCGUGGGGGAUAACGUAGGGAAACUUACGCUAAUACCGCAUACGACCUACGGGUGAAAGCAGGGGAUCUUCGGACCUUGCGCGAUUGAAUGAGCCGAUGUCGGAUUAGCUAGUUGGCGGGGUAAAGGCCCACCAAGGCGACGAUCCGUAGCUGGUCUGAGAGGAUGAUCAGACACACUGGAACUGAGACACGGUCCAGACUCCUACGGGAGGAAGCAGUGGGGAAUAUUGGACAAUGGGCGCAAGCCUGAUCCAGCCAUACCGCGUGGGUGAAGAAGGCCUUAGGGUUGUAGAGCCCUUUUGUUGGGAAAGAAAAGCAGCAGGUUAAUACCCCGCUGUUCUGACGGUACCCAAAGAAUAAGCACCGGCUAACUUCGUG
rnacentral:rRNA from 1 species